rnacentral:rRNA from 1 species
GACGAACGCUGGCGGCGUGCUUAACACAUGCAAGUCGAGCGGUAAGGCCCUUUCGGGGGUACACGAGCGGCGAACGGGUGAGUAACACGUGGGUGACCUGCCCUCAGCUCUGGGAUAAGCCUGGGAAACUGGGUCUAAUACUGGAUAUGACUCCACGGUGCAUGUCGUGGGGUGGAAAGCCUUGUGCGGCUGAGGAUGGGCCCGCGGCCUAUCAGCUUGUUGGUGGGGUGANGGCCUACCAAGGCGACGACGGGUAGCCGGCCUGAGAGGGCGACCGGCCACACUGGGACUGAGACACGGCCCAGACUCCUACGGGAGGCAGCAGUGGGGAAUAUUGGACAAUGGGCGCAAGCCUGAUCCAGCCAUGCCGCGUGAGUGACGAAGGUCUUCGGAUUGUAAAACUCUUUUGGCGGGGACGAUAAUGACGGUACCCGCAGAAUAAGCCCGGCUAACUUCGUGCCAGCAGCCGCCGU